GAAGAAAGACUUCUCGACGCCGAGACACUGCUGGUGGUACUCGAUGUAGAUCACGUGGAUGGCAGGAGCAGUGGCAAAGGACUUUCAACUGACAGACAAGCAUGAGAUGGUGGUCAGCUACCUCCCACUCAGCCAUAUUGCAGCACAGAUGAUGGACAUCUGGGUACCCAUAAAGAUUGGGGCGCUCACAUACUUUGCUCAAGCAGAUGCUCUCAAGGGGUGACUGGCAACCAUGCCGUGAAGACACUCAAGCAAUUCUGUGGAGAAGGCCAUGGAAUGAGGAGCUGAGACUUCCUGCCAACAACCAGUCAUCUAGGUCAGAAAUUCAGACAGGGCACAUCUGGGACAGCUUGAAGUCAUGAUGUGCUGGAGCUGGCAUGUAUCAACCGCAUGAGUCAGAGCCAAUUGCAUGCAUCUCUUCUCAGCUUCACAUUCAGUGGUAUCACAUCUGUACCUUGAAAUCAGCCACAGUGGGAGUAUUUACACCACAGGAAUUGGCAAACACUGCAAAUCAGCGCCCCAUGCCACUCAAGAGCCAGUUAUUAAAUAUUUAUCAGAACAUAACUGCUUUAAAGAAUUAUUUAAAAUUCUCAACAAUAUAAAGGGACAUUUUAUUAUUAAAUCCUUAGGGAUGGUCCCACCAAAAUCCCAUAUACAGUAAUAUUAGCAGACUCCAAAUGUACUUAGAUUUGCUAAAAUUCUCAAAUGCAUUUUUUUUUUAGAGACAGAAUCUCACUCCAUUGCCCAGGCCCAGUGGUGUGAUCAUAGCUCAGUGUAGCCUUGAAUUCCUGGGCUCAAGCAAUCCUCCCACCUCAGCCUCCUGAGUAGCUAGAACUACAGGUGUGCACCACCAUGCGGGGCUUAUUAUUUUAUUUUUUUGUAGAGGUAGAGUUGUCCAGCCUGGUCUGGAACUCCUGGCCUCAAGUGAGCCUCCUGCCUCAGCCUCCAAAGUGUUGAGAUUGCAGCCAUGAACCAUGACAGCCAGCCUCAAAUGCUUUUCCAAUAACACACAGACACAAGCCCUGAAAUUUAUAUCAUUGAGUUACUGAAUACAUAUAUGUGCCUGGAUUUCCCUAGCAAAAAUUGGGAAGAAAACAUUUACUUUCCUUUUCCAGGCAGGGUGAGUUAAAUGGUAUGUCUGCAGCUGCGUUGCCAGGGGUCCGUGGCUUUUCAAAAGUGGGUGUCCCUACUGGCAAAAGUGGAUACGGGGGUCUGCAUGUUCCGUGGCAGCUUCCAGGAAGAAUGAGAAGUGGAUAAGAGUGGAUGGUGCAGGUCUAGAAGCAAGAAAGGUCUGAACUAAAUUGGUUGUCACUUGCUGUAUAAGUGAGCCAAAGACAGUGUCUUUCUAUCAGCCCUAUCUCAUUUAUUUCUUUACAGCAGGCAGGCAGGGACCUCUCAGCUCAAAGCCCACCAGCACCAAGCUCAAAUUCUCACACAAUCCAUUGCUAUAAAUAUUGCACAAAUAAGCAUAUGUUUAGUCAUUUAGAGCCCACCUGCUUUGCAUACCCCAUAAAAUUGCACCCAACAACACCUAUUAAUCACAGAGAAGAAAAAUCUUACAGCCAUAAGAAACCCCAAAUUAUUGUUGCCUUUCAGAGUUCUAUGAUGCAGACUCUCCCCACCUUGCUACUCAAUGACAUCACCUAGACACUUAAGCCCUGCCUCUAACUCUCCUCUGUCCCAGGAGUUCCUCUGGAAGGAGUCCUGCUGGAAGGGACAUUCCCCGCAUGCAAACCUAUCUAAGUGCCGUGCAGUAAAGCUUGUUAUGCAAUACUGCCAUCUUAUGGUCCUGUUUUGUUUUGUUUUUUUUGAGCUGCCCCAUCAGGAAUCAAUGAUGUCAUAAGUCAUGGCUCCUGAAAUUGCAAUUUUCUUGUGUGUGUGUGUGUGUGUGUGUAAGCAAAAUUAGGCCAGGCAUGGUGGCUCACACCUGUAAUUCCAGCAUUUUGGAAGGCCAACACGGGGGGAUCGCUUGAGGUCAAGAGUUUGAGGCCAGCCUGAGCAACAUAGUGAGACCUCAUCUCUCCUAAAAAUUUGAAAAUUAACGCGAUGUGGUGACACGUACCUGUAGUCCCAGCUACUUGGGAGGCUGAAGCGGGAAGAUUGUUUGAUCCCAGGAGUUUGAGGUUGCAGUGAGCUGUGAUUGCACCACUGCACUCUAGCCUGGGCAACAGAGAGAGACCCUAUCUCAGUUUAAAAAAUAAAAUACAAUAAGUUUUAACGAAUUAAUUUUUGUUAUGUCUUGUGGUCUUUAAAUGACACACAUUUGACAGAAUGCAGUGGACAUUGACAGUACCAAGUAACACUGCUAUGGCCGAGAACAGGAGUGGCCAGGUGGCAUCUGAAAAGCUCUAGUUCCUUGGUGUGUCAUCUACAGCCAUGAGCAGCCUCAUCCAAGGCUCCUGUCGGGGUGGCCAGUAUGGAGUGAGGUCUGGAGGUGUGUCUUUGAUCCCUACGUCUGACACUCGCUGUCCACCACGAACAUCCUGUGUCACUGUGGAUCCAGGUACUGGAAGAUACUGAAGGAGUCCAUGUUCCAGGUGCCAAGGUAAGGCCAUGAAGCCAAGGUGCAGUUCUUGGAGAAGACCAGAAGGGGGCUCCUGGUAGCUGCAGCUCCAGAUAAAGCCUCCAAGUCCCCAUCUUCACGUGUAUCAGAUUCUUCUGUCAAUUUGCAGCUGGUAUGCUCUUUUAGCAGGGAUCAAGCCAGCAACUGGAUGACUCCUCCAACAAUGCAUGCAAAUUAGAGCAUCAUUAUCAUUUGAAGUGCCUGAUGGGAAAACACUCAACUGGAUUCAAAAAGCCAUUUACAUCAUUACAACAAUUUUUGAAACUUAUAUUUGUUAAUGAAUAAAGAAGUUGGGGUCCUUAGACAUAA
rnacentral:lncRNA from 1 species